rnacentral:tRNA from 1 species
AAAAAGGUAAGCUAAAAAAGCUAUUAGGUUCAUACCCUGAAUAUAGAAGUAUUAAUCCUCUCCUUUUUA